rnacentral:rRNA from 1 species
AUUGAACGCUGGCGGCAUGCUUUACACAUGCAAGUCGAACGGUAACAGGUUAAGCUGACGAGUGGCGAACGGGUGAGUAAUGCAUCGGAACGUGCCCGGUCGUGGGGGAUAACGCAGCGAAAGCUGCGCUAAUACCGCAUACGAUCUGAGGAUGAAAGCGGGGGACCGUAAGGCCUCGCGCGAUCGGAGCGGCCGAUGUCAGAUUAGGUAGUUGGUGGGGUAAAGGCUCACCAAGCCGACGAUCUGUAGCUGGUCUGAGAGGACGACCAGCCACACUGGGACUGAGACACGGCCCAGACUCCUACGGGAGGCAGCAGUGGGGAAUUUUGGACAAUGGGGGGCAACCCUGAUCCAGCCAUGCCGCGUGAGUGAAGAAGGCCUCGGUUGUAAGCUCUUCGGCCGGGAAAAAGUACGACAUCAGUUAAUACCU